rnacentral:lncRNA from 1 species
UAUCUGUCUCAGGAACAAUAGCUACCUGUAUUCUGCACGGGCUGCUGGGCAGGCACUAGCAGUCUGGAGAAGGUCUGCCUCCGUUAGAGGCUUUUUAGUGGGAAUCCCUAAUGACAGCCCUGCUUCUCAUUGGGAGGGGGGAGAGAAAUCUUGUCUACUCUGUUGAUGAGGGACAGAGCUUUGAUCAUUUUCAUUCAGCCUUGACUUGGCCUGAGGUUUAGGUUCCCAGUCCUGAAGUCAGCAGGCUCUCUUUUCUCACACGCACACACACCCGCACACCCACACCCAGCCCUGUGCUGGUCUGUGCAGGCAGAUUAGUGUCACGGCUCUAACUGAGGCACAGAGCAAUAAACAUAGCAGAACCAAUCUCCAUGGUGGCAAGAGGGGGCACUGGAGGUGACAACAAUGGAGAAGGAUCUUUCUUCUGACAAGUUUUAGAUGCCGGGGUCUUGCUGAGCCCUUGCCAAUGCUCGGAGGCUGUGCCGAGCAGGAGGAUUGCAGUGAACCUCUUCCCAUGUCCUGGGGGAGCCAAAUGCCAAGUGUGGCAAAACCCUCCAGGGAGGUAACACAGUGGAUGAUUGAUUGUACCCGCCAGCUGGCUAAUAUCAUAAUUAACAAAGUUGCUACCAUGUCUGAGAAGUUUAAUCGAAAAAAUUGCCGGCAGUAUGAUGCCAUUGUCACAGAGAUCACAAGCACAGCAGUGUUGACUUUUGCACUGGUGGAGCCGCAGGACUAUGUAGAUGUGCUGAAAAGUCGUUCGCUGGGAUAA